GGGUAACAUAGUAUCUACCUCACAGGAUCGUGUGGGCAGUACAUGCAUAGAAAGGAUUUAACACGCAGUGUACUCAGCUAGUUUUAUUAUUUAUCCGUGAUGAUCAUUUGUUCUUUUCCCCUAACUGUGCCUCACAAGUACGAAACAGAAUCUACCAAACAUUUAGGUCUGGGUAGUGGUUGGAUGGAAACCCACCGCGGGUUAACGCUUCCAACACCAGUCCCUUGACACUCUCCCGCCGAGGAGGCUGAUUUGUAAACUUGCUGAGAAGAGACUACCCAGCAGAUCUUUCAGACUAUCAAGAUCUCCACUUAGGGAAGUGGGAAUCUUAUUUGCGGAACAUUGGGCAGAAGCUUUGACAUUGGCUGGUGGAGAAGGAGGAGGCAGAAUGUCUGCAUUGUUACACCAUACAGCUCAAACUUCAGAAGACUUUGGGUUAAGCAGUUACCAUUAGUCUGCAAAUGAUCGUGUUUUCACCUGAUCAUUAGAAACUAAUGAAACACCUUUUAAGUCUUAUGAAUUCAGGUUACACUGUUUUCCAGAUGCCUUGGCAGCUGGUACAGGU
rnacentral:lncRNA from 1 species